GCUUCCUUAGCGUAGUUGGUUUAUCGCAUCCGUCUAAUAGACAUGCCCGACAGAACAGUCGGAUAGCACCACAAAACGGAAGGUCACUAGUUCGAGCCUAGUAGGGAGCA